rnacentral:rRNA from 1 species
GGUUAAGCGACUAAGCGUACACGGUGGAUGCCCUGGCAGUCAGAGGCGAUGAAGGGCGUGCUAAUCUGCGAUAAGCGCCGGUAAGGUGAUAUGAACCGUUAUAACCGGCGAUACCCGAAUGGGGAAACCCAGUGUGAUUCGUCACACUAUCAUUAACUGAAUCCAUAGGUUAAUGAGGCGAACCGGGGGAACUGAAACAUCUAAGUACCCCGAGGAAAAGAAAUCAACCGAGAUUCCCCCAGUAGCGGCGAGCGAACGGGGAGGAGCCCAGAGCCUGAAUCAGCAUGUGUGUUAGUGGAAGCGUCUGGAAAGGCGCGCGAUACAGGGUGACAGCCCCGUACACAAAAGCGCAUGUGCUGUGAGCUCGAUGAGUAGGGCGGGACACGUGGUAUCCUGUCUGAAUAUGGGGGGACCAUCCUCCAAGGCUAAAUACUCCUGACUGACCGAUAGUGAACCAGUACCGUGAGGGAAAGGCGAAAAGAACCCCGGCGAGGGGAGUGAAAAAGAACCUGAAACCGUGUACGUACAAGCAGUGGGAGCACAGGUUUACCUGUGUGACUGCGUACCUUUUGUAUAAUGGGUCAGCGACUUAUAUUCUGUAGCAAGGUUAACCGAAUAGGGGAGCCGGAGGGAAACCGAGUCUUAACCGGGCGUUAAGUUGCAGGGUAUAGACCCGAAACCCGGUGAUCUAGCCAUGGGCAGGUUGAAGGUUGGGUAACACUAACUGGAGGACCGAACCGACUAAUGUUGAAAAAUUAGCGGAUGACCUGUGGCUGGGGGUGAAAGGCCAAUCAAACCGGGAGAUAGCUGGUUCUCCCCGAAAGCUAUUUAGGUAGCGCCUCGUGAAUUCAUCUCCGGGGGUAGAGCACUGUUUCGGCUAGGGGGCCAUCCCGGCUUACCAACCCGAUGCAAACUGCGAAUACCGGAGAAUGUUAUCACGGGAGACACACGGCGGGUGCUAACGUCCGUCGUGAAGAGGGAAACAACCCAGACCGCCAGCUAAGGUCCCAAAGUCAUGGUUAAGUGGGAAACGAUGUGGGAAGGCCCAGACAGCCAGGAUGUUGGCUUAGAAGCAGCCAUCAUUUAAAGAAAGCGUAAUAGCUCACUGGUCGAGUCGGCCUGCGCGGAAGAUGUAACGGGGCUAAACCAUGCACCGAAGCUGCGGCAGCGACACUGUGUGUUGUUGGGUAGGGGAGCGUUCUGUAAGCCUGUGAAGGUGUGCUGUGAGGCAUGCUGGAGGUAUCAGAAGUGCGAAUGCUGACAUAAGUAACGAUAAAGCGGGUGAAAAGCCCGCUCGCCGGAAGACCAAGGGUUCCUGUCCAACGUUAAUCGGGGCAGGGUGAGUCGACCCCUAAGGCGAGGCCGAAAGGCGUAGUCGAUGGGAAACGGGUUAAUAUUCCCGUACUUGGUGUUACUGCGAAGGGGGGACGGAGAAGGCUAUGUUGGCCGGGCGACGGUUGUCCCGGUUUAAGCGUGUAGGUGUGUGUUCCAGGUAAAUCCGGUUCACUUUAACACUGAGGCGUGACGACGAGGCACUACGGUGCUGAAGCAACAAAUGCCCUGCUUCCAGGAAAAGCCUCUAAGCAUCAGGUAACAUCAAAUCGUACCCCAAACCGACACAGGUGGUCAGGUAGAGAAUACCAAGGCGCUUGAGAGAACUCGGGUGAAGGAACUAGGCAAAAUGGUGCCGUAACUUCGGGAGAAGGCACGCUGACAUGUAGGUGAAGUGAUUUACUCACGGAGCUGAAGUCAGUCGAAGAUACCAGCUGGCUGCAACUGUUUAUUAAAAACACAGCACUGUGCAAACACGAAAGUGGACGUAUACGGUGUGACGCCUGCCCGGUGCCGGAAGGUUAAUUGAUGGGGUCAGCGCAAGCGAAGCUCCUGAUCGAAGCCCCGGUAAACGGCGGCCGUAACUAUAACGGUCCUAAGGUAGCGAAAUUCCUUGUCGGGUAAGUUCCGACCUGCACGAAUGGCGUAAUGAUGGCCAGGCUGUCUCCACCCGAGACUCAGUGAAAUUGAACUCGCUGUGAAGAUGCAGUGUACCCGCGGCAAGACGGAAAGACCCCGUGAACCUUUACUAUAGCUUGACACUGAACAUUGAGCCUUGAUGUGUAGGAUAGGUGGGAGGCUUUGAAGUGUGGACGCCAGUCUGCAUGGAGCCGACCUUGAAAUACCACCCUUUAAUGUUUGAUGUUCUAACGUGGACCCGUAAUCCGGGUUGCGGACAGUGUCUGGUGGGUAGUUUGACUGGGGCGGUCUCCUCCUAAAGAGUAACGGAGGAGCACGAAGGUUGGCUAAUCCUGGUCGGACAUCAGGAGGUUAGUGCAAUGGCAUAAGCCAGCUUGACUGCGAGCGUGACGGCGCGAGCAGGUGCGAAAGCAGGUCAUAGUGAUCCGGUGGUUCUGAAUGGAAGGGCCAUCGCUCAACGGAUAAAAGGUACUCCGGGGAUAACAGGCUGAUACCGCCCAAGAGUUCAUAUCGACGGCGGUGUUUGGCACCUCGAUGUCGGCUCAUCACAUCCUGGGGCUGAAGUAGGUCCCAAGGGUAUGGCUGUUCGCCAUUUAAAGUGGUACGCGAGCUGGGUUUAGAACGUCGUGAGACAGUUCGGUCCCUAUCUGCCGUGGGCGCUGGAGAACUGAGGGGGGCUGCUCCUAGUACGAGAGGACCGGAGUGGACGCAUCACUGGUGUUCGGGUUGUCAUGCCAAUGGCACUGCCCGGUAGCUAAAUGCGGAAGAGAUAAGUGCUGAAAGCAUCUAAGCACGAAACUUGCCCCGAGAUGAGUUCUCCCUGAGACUUAGAGUCUCCUGAAGGAACGUUGAAGACGACGACGUUGAUAGGCCGGGUGUGUAAGCGCAGCGAUGCGUUGAGCUAACCGGUACUAAUGAACCGUGAGGCUUAACCUU